GCCGCGUGUAUGAAGAAGGCCUUCGGGUUGUAAAGUACUUUCAGCGAGGAGGAAGGCAUUAAGGUUAAUAACCUUAGUGAUUGACGUUACUCGCAGAAGAAGCACCGGCUAACUCCGUGCCAGCAGCCGCGGUAAUACGGAGGGUGCAAGCGUUAAUCGGAAUUACUGGGCGUAAAGCGCACGCAGGCGGUCUGUUAAGUCAGAUGUGAAAUCCCCGGGCUCAACCUGGGAACUGCAUUUGAAACUGGCAGGCUUGAGUCUUGUAGAGGGGGGUAGAAUUCCAGGUGUAGCGGUGAAAUGCGUAGAGAUCUGGAGGAAUACCGGUGGCGAAGGCGGCCCCCUGGACAAAGACUGACGCUCAGGUGCGAAAGCGUGGGGAGCAAACAGGAUUA
rnacentral:rRNA from 1 species